GCGGCCGUGGUCUAGCCUGGCUUAAGACUCGGGCCCUCCAAGCCCGAUACGCGGGUUCAAAUCCCGCCGGCCGCACCA
rnacentral:tRNA from 1 species